rnacentral:lncRNA from 1 species
AUGUACAAUGCCAACCUCAAGGGAGCCCAGAGUAAAGAAAAUGCUGUCUUUGAAACUCUUCUACAACUUUCCCUGGAUAUAGGCUCUGAACUCCCACAGGAUUCACAUGAAAGAGGUUGCAGCAAUACUCAUUCAAGUUGGAAAAGAGAAGGCUAUGAACAGAUGGCUAUGGCAAACAGCACAUUGCAAUUGGGGAGCAGUGCACAGAUUUGUUUAUGACACUACCUUGGUCCAUACUGACAGGCUACGUAAACAUCUCUGUAAUCCAGAACAAAAACUCUUGGAGCCUCUACCAACUCCUUAUGGCUGUAAGAAAACCAAGAAAGGCAGAGAUGUGAUGUAUGAUAUGGACAAGUUGUGGCAUCAGUGCGUAAUAUCUUUCUUCUAGGAUUUUGGUGAGACAAAAAUAAUAUUUGUUUAAGCCACUGAAGUUGGGUAUGUGGCUUCCAGUUUUAAUUGACCCUUUUUAUCUAUUGCCUACAUGAUAAA